GAUUUCCAUCAUUACCAGGAAAAAAUGACCAGGUAAAAGCGGUCCGUGCUAUUCAUGAAUUUCACGUUUCGCUGUUUUAAAAUGCAGCGAAACGGAAGCAGAAAGAUCAGAUCUCGGGGACCACUGUUAUUAACUGAGUUUUUUUGUCAACUUGCAAUAUUUUGAGCAUUUGAUCUGGUCGUAAGGAAAAGCACGCGAUACUAUGCAAAGAAAACUGCUGUGACAGGUUCAAUGGUCGAAACCGGUAGCCUUUUUCCCUCUCAAACUUUAUUUGCUCAACUUUUUUAUUUCCAUUUCCACACAAUAGAAAGCGGUGGAAGACAGGAGUUUACUUACGCUCAAAUGGAAGCACGGAAAGUGACGGAAAACAGAAUACACCGCAUUUUACUCAUUUUCUGUUUUUCCGCCCCGUGAAUGUUUACCGUAAAGGCCGUGCAGGGCAGGUCGCGUGAUCAGAACGGGGAAUGAAAAUGAUAGGCCAGCCAACUUGCUCAAGGGCAAUUACUUAACUCUUCUUGUACACCGUUGACAGCAAAUCGCCUUGUCAGCGAUUGUUUUCGACUUAAUGACAGGGCUGCCUAAUCUUGGAAGGCUGCUAAAACGGUUCAUCACAACAAUUUCGCCUUCUAGGGAAAAGGUAAAGUUUUGCUAGGUUUUUGUGCAUUCGCCACUAUUUAUUCUCAAACAGAUCCGGGAGUUUUCUUGCUAUUGCUUGUGUUUUUUUCCUUCGGUGUUGCUCGAAUACCAAAAUAACCUUAGUAGCUAUGAUGAUUUUGGAAAUUUCGGCGAUUUGUUCAACGACUGAAACAAGAUUUGCUUCUUUUCAAGGUUUGUAGUGCUUUCAAUGUUGUAUUUGUGUUACAUAACUCUUUGAGAUAUUCGCUUUGUGCAGCUUUAUGAGGCAAGGGAAUUAUUGUAGAACGUCUCAAAUAUUGACAACGAGAGAGAGCACGCUUGUAUUCUCUUUAUAUGAAUUUGGAGGCUGCUUGUAUUACAUAUUUGGGCGUACAUGCGUGCUCUUAUUUCGUAGUCAAUGUGUAACUGUUCUACAAUUUUUUUAAGCCUUUACAGGAUUACAACAGUUAUUUAAGGUGGAUCUUAAACGUAAGGCGAGUUGUGCUUUUGACGUUAUUGAAAGAAAAGCGACAAAAGGUCGAAUCUGUUUUACAUGAAAGCCUAAGCCAAUGCAAAAGAUUGGCCGCAGGUUCGAAAUCGAUUAUUAAAUCGCAUGUUAUCUUAAUUGAGAAGAUUAGGAAAUUACAGUCUUUUUACAUGAAUUUUUAGGUUUAGAAAAAAUACUGUAGUAAUUUUGUUUCUUACAGCUGUUCUUUUUAUCACACUCAAAUCACAAUUUUCUAUUUUAAAAUUGGAUGAUUACUUAUCAUUUUCGUCUAAUGUCAUAGGAGGAUUGAAUGAAAUUUUUACAGUUUACUUUUAGGUUUUUUGAAAAAGUACUGUACAUAGUAAUUUUGUUUCUUAUAGCGUGUCCUUUUUAUCAUACCGUAAAUACAAAUUUCCUUUAUUAACUGCCAUGAUUAUUUAUCAUGUUCGUUUGAUAUAUAUAAGAGGAUUGAUAGAUUUGUCGAUAGAACUGUCUUCUCAGAAACCAGAGGUUACAGGUUCAAGUUUGACUUUAUCAUUUUCAAUCAUAAUUUAAUGAAUCAAUACUUCCAUUUCAAUCCUUGAUCCAUCAUAAGAUGAUUUACUGAGAUACUGAUGAACCUUGAUUUUUUUGUUUUAUUUGUUUCAGGAGCCUUGACCUAAUGAUUUCCUUGCAAGAAUGAUUCAGACUACAUCUUUGCAGAGGAACCAAAGGUCCUCAUGUUGAAGGCAAACACUCUUCCGGAUCGACGGUAGCAUUCCGGAGUAUUAUGUUGUUCGAUACACUUGCAGGUUCAAUCCAUCUCUUUGAAAGAGAAAAUCUCGACUUUAUUUUCACACAGACAUUAUAAAUAAACGAAAUCAGGACAAGAGUUUGAUUCUGUUUGCUUAUUAAAUUAUGACAACUUAUUCCUGAACUCCUGCAAUAUUAUGGAAUCUUUUUCUUCAGAUUAAGAGGACUUUCUGUUCGUCCCUUUGAAGGAGUCUUCAUGAGGAAAGGAAAUAAGACCAGUGAAAAAGGUCCAAAAAUAAAUAUCAUUUUUCUGUGCAACUUUUACAUGGUAAAAGCGUUAGAAUAUGACAGCAGCAACAACUUGUGUCAUAGUUCUGUUCAAAGUAAAAAUGAAGGUGUGUCACAACUUAAGUGGAAGGUUAAAAUACAUAUACAUAUUGAACUCUGUUUUUCACAAUAUUGCUGACAACCUGUAAUAGAGAGUCGCUACUGCUGCUUGUGUCAAUGGAAUUUGAAAACAAAUUGAUUUAAAUUUAUUAUUUUUCAAUUCUUUAUUAUUUGAUUUUAUAUGAUGCCAUGUUUUGAGUUA